rnacentral:rRNA from 1 species
GAUGAACGCUGGCGGCGUGCCUAAUACAUGCAAGUCGAGCGAACAGACGAGGAGCUUGCUCCUCUGACGUUAGCGGCGGACGGGUGAGUAACACGUGGAUAACCUACCUAUAAGACUGGGAUAACUUCGGGAAACCGGAGCUAAUACCGGAUAAUAUAUUGAACCGCAUGGUUCAAUAGUGAAAGACGGUUUUGCUGUCACUUAUAGAUUGAUCCGCGCCGCAUUAGCUAGUUGGUAAGGUAACGGCUUACCAAGGCGACGAUGCGUAGCCGACCUGAGAGGGUGAUCGGCCACACUGGAACUGAGACACGGUCCAGACUCCUACGGGAGGCAGCAGUAGGGAAUCUUCCGCAAUGGGCGAAAGCCUGACGGAGCAACGCCGCGUGAGUGAUGAAGGUCUUCGGAUCGUAAAACUCUGUUAUUAGGGAAGAACAAAUGUGUAAGUAACUAUGCACGUCUUGACGGUACCUAAUCAGAAAGCCACGGCUAACUACGUG